UGCCAAUAUCAGUUCUUAUAUUUUCUAUGUGUUCUAUAAAGUUUCACGCUUUUACAGAAACGCAUCAAUCUUUGGAAUUUGGGUUACCACCCUUUUUUCAAAUAAGUUAUAUACCAAUUUUACACUAUGAAGUGUAUCUUAUUUCCCAGUGGAACAGGUUUGGCAUUUCGAAAAUAAUUUAUACUUUUAAUACGUAUACAGGUUCUUUACUAAAACAUUCUUUCACAUUACAAUUAUUAUUACCAUUACAUUAUUCCCAAUCAAACAAAUCAAUAUAAGUUUAUAUCAGUCUAAAUCAAGAGUUAUAUCAAAACGAAAUUAAGAUCUUGUCUUCUAGUCUGAUUUAUUCAUGCAGUAUAUGCCUAUGCUACUAUAACACAACUGCUGUUCGUUUUCAAAUUGAUAUGCUUGAUUCUAUU